CUCAUAAUAGAAAAGAAGAGGGAAAUGCUGGCCCGUGUCUCCUGAUUUUGAAGAUGUGUUCAUGGCAAGGUUGAAGGAGAAAAGGUGUUAAAUGGAAGAGCCCUUGGAGACUGAGAGGAUAUUGGACACAUAGGUCUAGUGUGAAACUUCACAAGUACACCCCUUAUGUAGAGGCUGACACAUCAGGGGAGGCCAUCACAACCAGAUGGAGGCAGCUUAAACUACAAGAAGAGUAGAGGCCUUUCCCAACUCUAUGUCUUCCCAUGGAGACAAUCACAUGAGGAGAGUUUUGUUGCCUCAGCUCCAUCAUCAUCUUGUCCCCGAAUCCAUGGUAGCAAAUGUCCCUGGGCAUUUAUCCAGAGGAGAGGAAAUUUGUAUAUAAAAGAGACAUCUGCACCUCCGUGUUUAUUGCAGCACCACUCACAAUAGCCAAGAUAGGAAUCAACCUAAGUGUCCAUCAAUAGAAGAAGAACCACAUGGUGCACCAUGCAAAUAGAAAAACAAACUUCUCUAAACUGAUGACGUGGGGCGCUAUCAUGGAUUAGGAGGAGCCUUUCACCCUGAUUGCCUACUACUGUUAAAAAACUAAAACAGGUGUUCUUGGCUGAUGGAUUCCAAUAUUCAAAUAAUAUAUUUUAACCUCCUCUUGCAAGUUUGAUUGUACCAGUAACAACUGAGGGCAUAUUAAUGGGAAGUGAGGUGUAAUGGAUUCUCUCUCCAUCUUCUCCGGGUAGCAUCCAUCUCCUCCCUGCAAAGUGACAAGUGUAUGGAAAACAAAUCAAUGUCAGAAUACUUUUUGUUGCUAUGACAGACUGAGAAGAUGUGAGAAAUCCUUCUCAAUUUCAACAUAUAAAUUUAGAAAGAAAAUAUAACAAAAAAAGCAAAAAACCCUGAAAUAUAUACUUGAACUCCCC
rnacentral:lncRNA from 1 species